UACAGAGGGUGCGAGCGUUGUCCGGAAUCACUGGGCGUAAAGGGCGCGUAGGCGGCUUUUCAAGCGUGCGGUGAAAGCUCGGGGCUUAACUCCGAGUCUGCCGUGCGAACUGGGAGGCUUGAGUCUGGUAGAGGUCGAUGGAAUUCCGGGUGUAGCGGUGGAAUGCGUAGAGAUCCGGAAGAACACCGGUGGCGAAGGCGGUCGACUGGGCCGACACUGACGCUGAGGAGCGAAAGCCAGGGGAGCAAACGGG
rnacentral:rRNA from 1 species